UACAGAGGGUGCGAGCGUUAAUCGGAAUUACUGGGCGUAAAGCGUGCGUAGACGGUCAUGUAAGUCGGGUGUGAAAGCCCCGGGCUCAACCUGGGAAUUGCAUUCGAGACUGCAUGGCUAGGAUGCGGAAGAGGGAAGCGGAAUUUCCGGUGUAGCGGUGAAAUGCGUAGAUAUCGGAAGGAACAUCAGUGGCGAAAGCGACUUCCUGGACCAGUACCGACGUUCAGGCACGAAAGCGUGGGGAGCAAACAGG
rnacentral:rRNA from 1 species